AUACAGAGGGUGCAAGCGUUGUUCGGAAUUAUUGGGCGUAAAGCGCGCGCAGGCGGUCCUUUAAGUCUGAUGUGAAAGCCCACGGCUCAACCGUGGAGGGUCAUUGGAAACUGGGGGACUUGAGUGCAGGAGAGGAGAGCGGAAUUCCACGUGUAGCGGUGAAAUGCGUAGAGAUGUGGAGGAGCACCAGUGGCGAAGGCGGCUCUCUGGCCUGUAACUGACGCUGAGGCGCGAAAGCGUGGGGAGCAAACAGGAUUAGAUACCCUGGUAGUCCACGCCGUAAACGAUGAGUGCUAAGUGUUAGAGGGGUCACACCCUUUAGUGCUGUAGCUAACGCGAUAAGCACUCCGCCUGGGGAGUACGGCCGCAAGGCUGAA
rnacentral:rRNA from 1 species